rnacentral:rRNA from 1 species
UACAGAGGUGGCAAGCGUUGUUCGGAAUCAUUGGGCGUAAAGCGCGUGUAGGCGGCCCGGUAAGUCCGCUGUGAAAGUCGGGGGCUCAACCCUCGAAUGCCGGUGGAUACUGUCGGGCUAGAGUGCGGGAGAGGCGAGUGGAAUUCCUGGUGUAGCGGUGAAAUGCGCAGAUAUCAGGAGGAACACCAAUUGCGAAGGCAGCUCGCUGGAACGUAACUGACGCUGAGACGCGAAAGCGUGGGGAGCAAACAGG